GUCGUCCAGGAUCGCGCCGGUGCCUUGUCAUGAGGCUUAAAAGGGAACGCGGUGAAGGUGGAGCGAUCCGCCCGAAGCCGAGGCUGUCCCUGCAACUGUAAGCGGUGAGCAAGAUGCCGGGGCUUCCCUCGCGGAAGCCGGCCACUGGACUGCGCGCAAAAGGGCGCGAGAGACCGGGAAGGCCGAGCAUCGCGCUUCGACCCGCAAGCCAGGAGACCUGCCGGCGCAUCGGUCGCUCU
rnacentral:ncRNA from 2 species